AUUGAACGCUGGCGGCAGGCCUAACACAUGCCAGUCGAGCGGAUGAAGGGAGCUUGCUCCUGGAUUCAGCGGCGGACGGGUGAGUAAUGCCUAGGAAUCUGCCUGGUAGUGGGGGAUAACGUCCGGAAACGGGCGCUAAUACCGCAUACGUCCUGAGGGAGAAAGUGGGGGAUCUUCGGACCUCACGCUAUCAGAUGAGCCAAGGUCGGAUUAGCUAGUUGGUGGGGUAAAGGCCUACCAAGGCGACGAUCCGUAACUGGUCUGAGAGGAUGAUCAGUCACACUGGAACUGAGACACGGUCCAGACUCCUACGGGAGGCAGCAGUGGGGAAUAUUGGACAAUGGGCGAAAGCCUGAUCCAGCCAUGCCGCGUGUGUGAAGAAGGUCUUCGGAUUGUAAAGCACUUUAAGUUGGGAGGAAGGGCAGUAAGUUAAUACCUUGCUGUUUUGACGUUACCAACAGAAUAAGCACCGGCUAACUUCGUG
rnacentral:rRNA from 1 species